rnacentral:rRNA from 1 species
AUUGAACGCUGGCGGCAUGCCUUACACAUGCAAGUCGAACGGCAGCACGGGGCAACCUGGUGGCGAGUGGCGAACGGGUGAGUAAUGCAUCGGAACGUGCCAUUGAGUGGGGGAUAACGUAGCGAAAGUUGCGCUAAUACCGCAUAUUCUGUGAGCAGGAAAGCAGGGGACCGCAAGGCCUUGCGCUCUUUGAGCGGCCGAUGUCAGAUUAGCUAGUUGGUGAGGUAACGGCUUACCAAGGCGACGAUCUGUAGCGGGUCUGAGAGGAUGAUCCGCCACACUGGAACUGAGACACGGUCCAGACUCCUACGGGAGGCAGCAUGGGGAAUUUUGGACAAUGGGCGCAAGCCUGAUCCAGCCAUGCCGCGUGAGUGAAGAAGGCCUCGG